CCUACGGGAGGCAGCAGUGAGGAAUAUUGGUCAAUGGGCGGAAGCCUGAACCAGCCAAGUAGCGUGCAGGAUGACGGCCCUACGGGUUGUAAACUGCUUUUAUACGGGAAUAACGCGCCUUACGUGUAGGGCUUUUCAUGUACCGUAUGAAUAAGGACCGGCUAAUUCCGUGCCAGCAGCCGCGGGAAUACGGAAGGUACGGGCGUUAUCCGGAUUUUAUGGGGUUAAAAGGAGCGUAGGGCGAAUGGCAAGCGUGCUGGGAAAUGUGCGGGCUCAACCCGGGGCUUGCCGCGCGAACUGGCGUGCUUGAGUCCGCGGAAAGCAGGCGGAAUGCGUGGUGUAGCGGUGAAAUGCUUAGAUAUGACGCAGAACCCCGAUUGCGAAGGCAGCUUGCUGGAGCGGAACUGACGCUGAUGCUCGAAAGCGCGGGUAUCGAACAGGAUUAGAUACCCUAGUAGUC
rnacentral:rRNA from 1 species